GACGAACGCUGGCGGCGUGCUUAACACAUGCAAGUGGAGCGACGAACCGGGGCUUGCCCCGGGGCAGAGCCGCGAACGGGUGAGUAACACGUGGGUAACCCACCCCGAUGACCGGGACAACCCGAGGAAACUCGGGCUAAUACCGGAUGUGCUCCUUGACCUCGAGGUCAAGCGUAAAGAUAGCUUCGGCCUUCGCAUCGGGACGGGCCCG
rnacentral:rRNA from 1 species